AGGACGAACGCUGGCGGCGUGCUUAACACAUGCAAGUCGAACGGUAAGGCCCCUUUGGGGGUACACGAGUGGCGAACGGGUGAGUAACACGUGAGCAACCUGCCUCUGACUUUGGAAUAACAGUUGGAAACAGCUGCUAAUACCGGGUAUGACCUGUCGCCGCAUGGUGGUGGGUGGAAAGUUUCGGCGGUUGGGGAUGGGCUCGCGGCCUAUCAGCUUGUUGGUGAGGUAAUGGCUUACCAAGGCUUCGACGGGUA
rnacentral:rRNA from 1 species